rnacentral:rRNA from 1 species
CGAACGCUGGCGGCGUGCUUAACACAUGCAAGUCGAACGGAAAGGCCCUGCUUUUGUGGGGUGCUCGAGUGGCGAACGGGUGAGUAACACGUGAGUAACCUGCCCUUGACUUUGGGAUAACUUCAGGAAACUGGGGCUAAUACCGGAUAGGAGCUCCUGCUGCAUGGUGGGGGUUGGAAAGUUUCGGCGGUUGGGGAUGGACUCGCGGCUUAUCAGCUUGUUGGUGGGGUAGUGGCUUACCAAGGCUUUGACGGGUAGCCGGCCUGAGAGGGUGACCGGCCACAUUGGGACUGAGAUACGGCCCAGACUCCUACGGGAGGCAGCAGUGGGGAAUAUUGCACAAUGGGCGGAAGCCUGAUGCAGCAACGCCGCGUGCGGGAUGACGGCCUUCGGGUUGUAAACCGCUUUCGCCUGUGACGAAGCGUGAGUGACGGUAAUGGGUAAAGAGGCACCGGCUAACUACGUG